rnacentral:pre_miRNA from 1 species
AAAAAUUGUAGUUUUACACAGUUCAUAUUUAACGUUUGAUCGUUCGUCUUAUUUGAAAAUUUUUAUGAUUAAUAUUUUUAUUGUUAUUAGAUGAUAAAACAUAGAAAUUAUUUUAUGUGUGACUAAUUUUUUAAAAAAUUUUCAUAUAUUUUUUAAAUAAGAUAAAUGGUUAAACGUUGAACAUAGUAACCUAUGACUCCACUUAAA